ensembl:lncRNA
CCAAGAUGGGCCAAACAAGUGUUCUUUAAAUAGUGAAGUCUCCCUCUUUGGAGAUCUCCAAGAGCUGCCUGGUUAUGGUAUGGUAGCCUGCUCUGGGUGGCCCUGCUUGAGCAAGGAUUGGACAAGAUGUCCUCCAGAGGGCCCUGCCAACCUCAGCCAUUCUGCCUGUGUAAUUUUGUGAUUCUGUGAAAUUAGAUCAGUAUAUAGCAAUCUUUAACAAAUUUGAGGAAAACUUUCAUGUUCAGUAAACUGCUAUUUUCUCAUAAUACUGUUUUGUUAGGAACUCUGUGCAUGCACUAGCAACGAUUCUUGAAGAACUUUGGUUUAGCUACAUGGAAAUAAGUAUUUCUAGGGGUUUUCAUGGGAUUCUUGCUGCCGGGGAGAGCUCAAGAACUCCUUUUACUCUUACUUACCUUUUAUUUCUUUUACUCUUUAUUGUACAUGAAAGAAUGCUCUUCUCUCUCACUGGGCUAACGAAGAUUUAUAAUGUUUAUUCAUUUCCUUUUUCCUCUUAACCUGAACCGGAACAGUUUGCCUUACUCAGAUUUCCAGAGGCAUGUCUACCUCACUCGCUCAAAAUGCAUUCCCACAGGGGCAGACAAGGGUGCAUUGUGUCGCCAGGCAAUCCACGCCAGGGCCUUGCGUGCAGUCUGUGGGCAGCCUGCCCAAACAUGCCUGGCAGGGUCCUAACCACCUACUUACAUAUUAACACCACCUAAGAAUGCCUGAUGUGUUUGGGCCCACAAGGAUAUUGCAAGUGCUACAGAAGUGUGUUUUCUGCUCAUGCAUUCACUGAGCACAGAGGCAGAUCUAGCCCAGGGGGCAAUCAUGGGACACCCCUGGGAGGAAGAUUUAUUCAUCCUCUCAGGGGUGAAAGGACAUUUCCAGCAUGGCAAAUCUCAGGCAUUUGACAGUGAGGAGGGUCAUUGUGGUAGAGGAAAUAUUUUUAUCUGGGCGUCAGGAAAUGGUGGUCUGGCUAGUGACUGCAGUGGUGUGGAUGGUUACAUGAACAGCAUUUACUCAGGGGCAAAGCAUGCCAUCGUUUACCUCUGCUCCAGAAGUCCUGGACUACAAGAACAAAUCAACAUCAAUGCCACCUGGAAAUAUCCAUUGAGGAAGGAUUGUGGAGUCUAGUACCCUGAAACAACCCUUCAACCUGAAGCAAGGUUGCCACAGAACUUUAGAGGUGGAAGUGUUUGAGAAUUCAAAGACAUCCUGCACAAAUCCUUUCAAAUGCUGUUGUUGUUUUGAUUCUUCAGCCCAAGUAAGGAUGAUACAUGUCUUGCUUUCAGUUCACAUGACAAAGAUAUGACAUUGUUGUCACUGAUCCUUAAGAAAACUAUAUGAGUCAAAUUACAGUAGAGACAAAAGUUGGAACAAAGCCCUCUUUCUUGUUGAAACAGUUUGCUGUUUUACUGUCUUUUGCUCAGCUGGUGGUACUGUAUGUAGUCUACAAGUAGAUUAAAUACAUUUUAGGUGCAUGAAAGAAAAGUUACUAUUUAAAAACAUAAGAUUCCUUUAGGAAAAUAAUUGGAGGCAGUAAUAGUCAUUAACUCUGAAAUACAUUAUUCUUCCCACAGUUCCUCAUAUAAAGCAAACUCUGUUGCAUGCCACAGUAUUAAACAAUAUAUGAGUUAAAUAUCUUCUUCAAAGAUGCAUGGCCUAAAACAUGAAAAAUUAGAGUAUAUGCAAAUCAUCAUAAAGGACUGACUUUACUGACCAUUUCUUUGUGUUUGGGGGAUAGAUUUCUGCAUGGCAUAAUAUUUCCACUUGCAUUGGUUUCCUGGCAUGAAAAUGUUUAUUGCACUCAUUAGCUAAGAGGAUGUCGGCACUGGUCCAAUGAACACAGAUCUGCCUUCUGAUUUCAGCCAUUAAAUUGCAAUGGGAUUCAUAGGCUUAACAUUGUGGGUGUGAGAAUAAUAAAAUGGAACUCCAUCUUUAGCCCA